rnacentral:rRNA from 1 species
CCCUUAGAUGUUCUGGGCCGCACGCGUGCUACACUGAGUGGAUCAGCGGGUCAGGUUGCGCGAAAGCGUUUCCUAAUCUUGAAAUCCGCUCGUGAUGGGGAUUGACGGUUGCAAUUUUCUGUCAUGAACGAGGAAUACCUUGUAAGCGCGAGUCAUCAUCCCGCGCUGAAUACGUCCCUGCCCUUUGUACACACCGCCCGUCGCUCCUACCGAUUGAGUGGUCCGGUGAGGCUUUGGGAUCUGAGCGGAAAGAGCGUUUCGCUCGUUCUGCCCGGAAAACUCAGUCGAACCUUAUCAUUUAGAGGAAGGAGAAGUCGGAACA